AUUCGCGGCCUAUCAGCUUGUUGGUGGGGUAAUGGCUCACCAAGGCGACGACGGGUAGCCGGCCUGAGAGGGUGACCGGCCACACUGGGACUGAGACACGGCCCAGACUCCUACGGGAGGCAGCAGUGGGGAGUAUUGCACAAUGGGCGAAAGCCUGAUGCAGCGACGCCGCGUGAGGGAUGACGGCCUUCGGGUUGUAAACCUCUUUCAGUAGGGAAGAAGCGAGAGUGACGGUACCUGCAGAAGAAGCGCCGGCUAACUACGUGCCAGCAGCCGCGGUAAUACGUAGGGCGCAAGCGUUGUCCGGAAUUAUUGGGCGUAAAGAGCUCGUAGGCGGUUUGUCGCGUCUGCUGUGAAAGCCCGGGGCUCAACCCCGGGUCUGCAGUGGGUACGGGCAGACUAGAGUGCAGUAGGGGAGACUGGAAUUCCUGGUGUAGCGGUGAAAUGCGCGGAUAUCAGGAGGAACACCGAUGACGAAGGCAGGUCUCUGGGCUGUUACUGACGCUGAGGAGCGAAAGCAUGGGGAGCGAACAGGAUUAGAUACCCUGGUAGUCCAUGCCGUAAACGUUGGGCACUAGGUGUGGGGGACAUUCCACGUUUUCCGCGCCGUAGCUAACGCAUUAAGUGCCCCGCCUGGGGAGUACGGAAUCGUCGACCGCAGACCCAC
rnacentral:rRNA from 1 species